rnacentral:rRNA from 1 species
CCUACGGGAGGCAGCAGUGAGGAAUAUUGGUCAAUGGGCGCGAGCCUGAACCAGCCAAGUCGCGUGAGGGAAGACGGUCCUAUGGGUUGUAAACCUCUUUUGUCGGGGAGCAAAAGACGCCACGCGUGCCGUUCCGAGAGUACCCGAAGAAAAAGCAUCGGCUAACUCCGUGCCAGCAGCCGCGGUAAUACGGAGGAUGCGAGCGUUAUCCGGAUUUAUUGGGUUUAAAGGGUGCGCAGGCGGAAGGUUAAGUCAGCGGUAAAAUUGCGGGGCUCAACCCCGUCGAGCCGUUGAAACUGGUUUUCUUGAGUGAGUGAGAAGUAUGCGGAAUGCGUGGUGUAGCGGUGAAAUGCAUAGAUAUCACGCAGAACUCCGAUUGCGAAGGCAGCUUGCUGCAGCGGAACUGACGCUGAUGCUCGAAAGCGCGGGUAUCGAACAGGAUUAGAUACCCCUGUAGUC